rnacentral:lncRNA from 1 species
AAGACAUUACCUUAGAUACAUUCCGUGUUUUAAAAAUACAUCUAAGGCGAUGUCUCAUGAACUCUAUACUCCUUCACCUUUUGCAAAUGAUCCUUGGGAAGACAUAAACCUAAAUUUCAUAUUAGAGCUUCCUAGGACAACAAAAGGUCUUGAUUCUUUCUUCAUGGAAGUGGAUAAACUCUUCUUAAGAAAAGUGACAAGCCUCC